GGUCGGGUUUGAGUACAUGUUCGAAUAAAAUGCCUAUGCGUAGUUACAAGUUUAUUGAUGGCAGAACCAGAGAUGGUGGUUACAUUUCAUUUGAAGUUUCAAUAUGAACUCUGGCGACAAGUUUUUGAAACUAAAAAACAGGACAUAUUGUCCUUACUUCUUUGCAGGGUUUCCUCUGUCCAGACUUCUUCUUGGGCUUGCUGUAACCACUC
rnacentral:lncRNA from 1 species